GGCGAGUGAAGCGGCAAAAGCUCAAAUUUGAAAUCUGGCGUCUUCGACGUCCGAGUUGUAAUUUGAAGAAGGCAACUUUGUAGCUGGUCCUUGUCUAUGUUCCUUGGAACAGGACGUCAUAGAGGGUGAGAAUCCCGUGUGGCGAGGAUCCCAGUUAUUUGUAAAGUGCUUUCGACGAGUCGAGUUGUUUGGGAAUGCAGCUCUAAGUGGGUGGUAAAUUCCAUCUAAAGCUAAAUAUUGGCGAGAGACCGAUAGCGAACAAGUACAGUGAUGGAAAGAUGAAAAGAACUUUGAAAAGAGAGUGAAAAAGUACGUGAAAUUGUUGAAAGGGAAGGGCAUUUGAUCAGACAUGGCGUUUGCUUCGGCUUUCGCUGGGCCAGCAUCAGUUUUAGCGGUUGGAUAAAUCCUCGGGAAUGUGGCUCUGCUUCGGUAGAGUGUUAUAGCCCGUGGGAAUACAGCCAGCUGGGACUGAGGAUUGCGACUUUUGUCAAGGAUGCUGGCGUAAUGGUUAAAUGCCG
rnacentral:rRNA from 1 species